GGUUAAGCGAACAAGCGUACACGGUGGAUGCCCUGGCAGUCAGAGGCGAUGAAGGACGUGCUAAUCUGCGAAAAGCGCCGGUAAGGUGAUAUGAACCGUUAUAACCGGCGAUGUCCGAAUGGGGAAACCCGGUGCACUUCGGUGCAUCAUCGUUAGCUGAAUACAUAGGCUAACGAAGCGAACCGGGGGAACUGAAACAUCUAAGUACCCCGAGGAAAAGAAAUCAACCGAGAUUCCCCCAGUAGCGGCGAGCGAACGGGGAACAGCCCAGAGCCUGAAUCAGCUUGUGUGUCAGUGGAACGGUCUGGAAAGGCCGGCGAUACAGGGUGACAGCCCCGUACACGAAGGCACACAGGCUGUGAGCUCGAUGAGUAGGGCGGGACACGUGAUAUCCUGUCUGAAGAUGGGGGGACCAUCCUCCAAGGCUAAAUACUCCUGACUGACCGAUAGUGAACCAGUACCGUGAGGGAAAGGCGAAAAGAACCCCGGCGAGGGGAGUGAAACAGAACCUGAAACCGUGUACGUACAAGCAGUGGGAGCCUUCGUAAGAGGGUGACUGCGUACCUUUUGUAUAAUGGGUCAGCGACUUAUAUUCUGUAGCAAGGUUAACCGUAUAGGGGAGCCGAAGGGAAACCGAGUCUUAACCGGGCGUUAAGUUGCAGGGUAUAGACCCGAAACCCGGUGAUCUAGCCAUGGGCAGGUUGAAGGUUGGGUAACACUAACUGGAGGACCGAACCGACUAAUGUUGAAAAAUUAGCGGAUGACCUGUGGCUGGGGGUGAAAGGCCAAUCAAACCGGGAGAUAGCUGGUUCUCCCCGAAAGCUAUUUAGGUAGCGCCUCGUGAAUUCAUCUCCGGGGGUAGAGCACUGUUUCGGCUAGGGGGCCAUCCCGGCUUACCAACCCGAUGCAAACUGCGAAUACCGGAGAAUGUUAUCACGGGAGACACACGGCGGGUGCUAACGUCCGUCGUGAAGAGGGAAACAACCCAGACCGCCAGCUAAGGUCCCAAAGUCAUGGUUAAGUGGGAAACGAUGUGGGAAGGCCCAGACAGCCAGGAUGUUGGCUUAGAAGCAGCCAUCAUUUAAAGAAAGCGUAAUAGCUCACUGGUCGAGUCGGCCUGCGCGGAAGAUGUAACGGGGCUAAACCAUGCACCGAAGCUGCGGCAGCGACACGUAUGUGUUGUUGGGUAGGGGAGCGUUCUGUAAGCCUGUGAAGGUGUGCUGUGAGGCAUGCUGGAGGUAUCAGAAGUGCGAAUGCUGACAUAAGUAACGAUAAAGCGGGUGAAAAGCCCGCUCGCCGGAAGACCAAGGGUUCCUGUCCAACGUUAAUCGGGGCAGGGUGAGUCGACCCCUAAGGCGAGGCCGAAAGGCGUAGUCGAUGGGAAACAGGUUAAUAUUCCUGUACUUGGUGUUACUGCGAAGGGGGGACGGAGAAGGCUAUGUCGGCCGGGCGACGGUUGUCCCGGUUUAAGCGUGUAGGCUGACUUUCCAGGCAAAUCCGGAAGGUUAAGGCUGAGGCGUGAUGACGAGGCACCACGGUGCUGAAGUGACAAAUGCCCUGCUUCCAGGAAAAGCCUCUAAGCAUCAGGUAACAUCAAAUCGUACCCCAAACCGACACAGGUGGUCAGGUAGAGAAUACCAAGGCGCUUGAGAGAACUCGGGUGAAGGAACUAGGCAAAAUGGUGCCGUAACUUCGGGAGAAGGCACGCUGACAUGUAGGUGAAGCCCCUGCGGGUGGAGCUGAAGUCAGUCGAAGAUACCAGCUGGCUGCAACUGUUUAUUAAAAACACAGCACUGUGCAAACACGAAAGUGGACGUAUACGGUGUGACGCCUGCCCGGUGCCGGAAGGUUAAUUGAUGGGGUUAUCGCAAGAGAAGCUCCUGAUCGAAGCCCCGGUAAACGGCGGCCGUAACUAUAACGGUCCUAAGGUAGCGAAAUUCCUUGUCGGGUAAGUUCCGACCUGCACGAAUGGCGUAAUGAUGGCCAGGCUGUCUCCACCCGAGACUCAGUGAAAUUGAACUCGCUGUGAAGAUGCAGUGUACCCGCGGCAAGACGGAAAGACCCCGUGAACCUUUACUACAGCUUGACACUGAACAUUGAGCCUUGAUGUGUAGGAUAGGUGGGAGGCUUUGAAGCGUGGACGCCAGUCUGCGUGGAGCCGACCUUGAAAUACCACCCUUUAAUGUUUGAUGUUCUAACCUGGCGCCAUAAUCUGGCGUGGGGACAGUGUCUGGUGGGUAGUUUGACUGGGGCGGUCUCCUCCCAAAGUGUAACGGAGGAGCACGAAGGUCAGCUAAUCCUGGUCGGACAUCAGGAGGUUAGUGCAAUGGCAUAAGCUGGCUUGACUGCGAGAGUGACGGCUCGAGCAGGUGCGAAAGCAGGUCAUAGUGAUCCGGUGGUUCUGUAUGGAAGGGCCAUCGCUCAACGGAUAAAAGGUACUCCGGGGAUAACAGGCUGAUACCGCCCAAGAGUUCAUAUCGACGGCGGUGUUUGGCACCUCGAUGUCGGCUCAUCACAUCCUGGGGCUGAAGUAGGUCCCAAGGGUAUGGCUGUUCGCCAUUUAAAGUGGUACGCGAGCUGGGUUUAGAACGUCGUGAGACAGUUCGGUCCCUAUCUGCCGUGGGCGCUGGAGAAUUGAGGGGGGCUGCUCCCAGUACGAGAGGACCGGAGUGGACGCAUCACUGGUGUUCGGGUUGUCAUGCCAAUGGCACUGCCCGGUAGCUAAAUGCGGAAGAGAUAAGUGCUGAAAGCAUCUAAGCACGAAACUUGCCCCGAGAUGAGUUCUCCCUGAGACUAUAAGUCUCCUGAAGGAACGUUGAAGACGACGACGUUGAUAGGCCGGGUGUGUAAGCGCAGCGAUGCGUUGAGCUAACCGGUACUAAUGAACCGUGAGGCUUAACCUU
rnacentral:rRNA from 1 species